AUUCUAUUGGUCUCACAGAUCAGCUCUAUUCAGUAUGGAAAAGGACUACACAGAAACUUGAAUAACAUGAGGCAAGAAUCAAUGGGGACCAUCUUGGAUAAUGGUUAUUACCAAGAAGAUAAACACAAUAAUAAAUAGAAUAUUUAAGUGAUGACCAGUGCUCCAAUAACCAUGUUGGAAUAUGAAGCAACCUUGAAGAUGAAAGCUAUGCACUUAGAAUGAGGAGUAGAAACUUAAACACUAAGGACCAAGAAACAGCAACACUAAUCCUGAACUCUAUUUCAGGACUUCUUUUAAAUGAAAAAAAAAAAAAAUAAUAAUCUUCCAUACAUUUAGCCAGUAUUAUUUCGGAUUCUAUUAUUUUUGUUACACAUAGCUAUUGAUAUGGGAGUUAAGAAGAAAUUAUUUAGGCAGAUAGUGAGGGAAUUUAUUUCUUACAGUUAUGGAAGCUGAGAAGUUCAAGGUCGAGGGGCCACAUCUGGAGAGAGUCUUCUUGCUGGU
rnacentral:lncRNA from 1 species